rnacentral:rRNA from 1 species
CCUACGGGUGGCAGCAGUGAGGAAUAUUGGUCAAUGGGCGCGAGCCUGAACCAGCCAAGUAGCGUGAAGGAUGACUGCCCUACGGGUUGUAAACUUCUUUUAUAAAGGAAUAAAGUGAGGCACGUGUGCCUUUUUGUAUGUACUUUAUGAAUAAGGAUCGGCUAACUCCGUGCCAGCAGCCGCGGUAAUACGGAGGAUCCGAGCGUUAUCCGGAUUUAUUGGGUUUAAAGGGUGCGUAGAUGGGAAGCCAAGUCAGCUGUGAAAACUACGGGCUUAACUUGUAGACUGCAGUUGAUACUGGUGAUCUUGAGAGAAGUAGAGGUAGGCGGAAUGUCGAGUGUAGCGGUGAAAUGCGUAGAGAUUCGACAGAACACCGGUGGCGAAGGCAGCCAACUGGGCUUUAACUGACGCUGAGGCUCGAAAGUGUGGGGAGCAAACAGGAUUAGAUACCCGGGUAGUC